rnacentral:rRNA from 1 species
AUUGAACGCUGGCGGCAGGCCUAACACAUGCAAGUCGAGCGGAUGACGGGAGCUUGCUCCUUGAUUCAGCGGCGGACGGGUGAGUAAUGCCUAGGAAUCUGCCUGGUAGUGGGGGACAACGUUUCGAAAGGAACGCUAAUACCGCAUACGUCCUACGAGAGAAAGCAGGGGACCUUCGGGCCUUGCGCUAUCAGAUGAGCCUAGGUCGGAUUAGCUGGUUGGUGGGGUAAUGGCUCACCAAGGCGGCGAUCCGUAACUGGUCUGAGAGGAUGAUCAGGCACACUGGAACUGAGACACGGUCCAGACUCCUACGGGAGGAAGCAGUGGGGAAUAUUGGACAAUGGGCGAAAGCCUGAUCCAGCCAUGCCGCGUGUGUGAAGAAGGUCUUCGGAUUGUAAAGCACUUUAAGUUGGGAGGAAGGGCAGUAAGCUAAUAUCUUGCUGUUUUGACGUUACCGACAGAAUAAGCACCGGCUAACUCUGUGCCAGCCGCCGCCGUAAUAC